UACGUAGGGUGCGAGCGUUAAUCGGAAUUACUGGGCGUAAAGCGUGCGCAGGCGGUUUUGUAAGCCAGAUGUGAAAUCCCCGGGCUCAGCCUGGGAAUGGCAUUUGGGACUGCAAGGCUUGAGUGCGGCAGAGGAGACUGGAAUUCCUGGUGUAGCAGUGAAAUGCGUAGAUAUCUGGAGGAACACCGGUGGCGAAGGCGGCAUCCUGGACCGACACUGACACUGAGGAGCGAAAGCCAGGGGAGCAAACGGG
rnacentral:rRNA from 1 species